rnacentral:rRNA from 1 species
UACGUAGGUGACAAGCGUUGUCCGGAUUUACUGGGCGUAAAGAGCGCGCAGGCGGUCGAUCAAGUCGAGUGUGAAAGCCCCCGGCUCAACUGGGGAGGGUCAUUCGAUACUGAUCGACUCGAAGGCAGGAGAGGGUAGUGGAAUUCCCGGUGUAGUGGUGAAAUGCGUAGAUAUCGGGAGGAACACCAGUGGCGAAGGCGACUACCUGGCCUGUUCUUGACGCUGAGGCGCGAAAAGCUAGGGGAGCAAACGGG